rnacentral:tRNA from 1 species
GGUUACGUACUUUAUUUAAAAGACUUAGUUUGCACCUAAAAUUAGAGGUUACACUCCGUAACCC